UCCUAUCUAUGUCAUGACAGCCCAAAAGCUUUUCAUCCUAUCUAUGUCAUGACAGCCCAAAGGCUUUUCAUCUUAUCUAUGUCAUGACAGCCCAAAGGCUUUUCAUCCUAUCUAUGUCAUGACAGCCCAAAGGCUUUUCUCCCUAUCUAUGUCAUGACAGCCCAAAGGCUUUUCAUCCUAUGUCAUGACAGCCCAAAAGCUUUACAUCCUAUCUAUGUCAUGACAGCCCAAAGGUUUUUCAUCCUAUCUAUGUCAUGACAGCCCAAAGGCUUUUCUCCCUAUCUAUGUCAUGACAGCCCAAAGGCUUUUCAUCCUAUGUCAUGACAGCCCAAAGGCUUUUCUCCCUAUCUAUGUCAUGACAGCCCAAAGGCUUUACAUCCUAUCUAUAUCAUGACAGCCCAAAGGCUUUUCAUCCUAUCUAUGGCAUGACAGCCCAAAGGCUUUUCAUCCUAUGUCAUGACAGCCCAAAAGCUUUACAUCCUAUCUAUGUCAUGACAGCCCAAAGGCUUUUCAUCCUAUGUCAUGACAGCCCAAAAGCUUUACAUCCUAUCUAUGUCAUGACAGCCCAAAGGCUUUUCUCCCUAUCUAUGGCAUGACAGCCCAAAGGCUUUUCAUCCUAUGUCAUGACAGCCCAAAAGCUUUACAUCCUAUCUAUGUCAUGACAGCCCAAAGGCUUUUCAUCCUAUGUCAUGACAGCCCAAAAGCUUUACAUCCUAUCUAUGUCAUGACAGCCCAAAGGCUUUUCUCCCUAUCUAUGGCAUGACAGCCCAAAGGCUUUUCAUCCUAUGUCAUGACAGCCCAAAAGCUUUACAUCCUAUCUAUGUCAUGACAGCCCAAAGGCUUUUCAUCCUAUGUCAUGACAGCCAAAAGCUUUACAUCCUAUCUAUGUCAUGACAGCCCAAAGGCUUUUCAUCCUAUCUAUGUCAUGACAGCCCAAAGGUUUUUCAUCCUAUCUAUGUCCUGCUGUUUUCUGCUGUGGUUUAGCCGUUAAACCCAUGCCAGGCCCUGGUGCGCAGACUGUCUGUCAUUAAUCUGGAGAACUUCAGGAGACAGUACGCACGACGCAGAUGGAAGAUGUCUAUCAGGAUUGUGUCUCUGUGUAACCACCUGACCAGGAUGAUGAGAAAAGGGCAGGAACAACAACAACAACAGCAACAGGACCAGAGGAGCUGUGACAGCGACAACGAGGAAGAGACCAGGAAGACAAGACUACAGACCAGGAAGAGGAGUAACACUUCCUGAAGAA